rnacentral:rRNA from 1 species
UACGGAGGAUGCAAGCGUUGUCCGGAAUCACUGGGCGUAAAGCGUCUGUAGGUGGCUCAGAAAGUCCGCUGUUAAAUCUUAGGGCUCAACCCUAAACCAGCAGUGGAAACUUCUAGGCUAGAGUGUGGUAGGGGUAGAGGGAAUUCCCAGUGUAGCGGUGAAAUGCGUAGAUAUUGGGAAGAACACCGGUGGCGAAAGCGCUCUACUGGGCCAUAACUGACACUCAGAGACGAAAGCUAGGGGAGCGAAUGGG